rnacentral:rRNA from 1 species
UACGUAGGGGGCAAGCGUUGUCCGGAAUCAUUGGGCGUAAAGAGCGCGUAGGCGGCCCAAGUAAGUCCGCUUUGAAAGUCAGAGGCUCAACCUCUGAAUGCGGGUGGAUACUGCUGGGCUAGAGUCCGGAAGAGGCGAGUGGAAUUCCUGGUGUAGCGGUGAAAUGCGCAGAUAUCAGGAGGAACACCGAUGGCGAAGGCAGCUCGCUGGGACGGUACUGACGCUGAGGCGCGAAAGCGUGGGGAGCGAACAGG